AGCUCCAAUAACGUAUAUUAAAGUUGUUGCAGUUAAAAAGCUCGUAGUUGGAUUUCUGGUUUGGACGUCCGGUCCGCUUACUAUGUAAGUGCGUACUAUGGAUGUUUGGAUCAUUUUUUGUGAGGAAAUUCUUCUGCCAUUAAGUUGGUGGUUUUAUGGACUCGCAUCGUUUACUGUGAAAAAUUAGAGUGUUUAAAGCAGGCGUUUGCUCAUUUGAAUACAUUAGCAUGGAAUAAUAAGAUACGACCUUGGUGGUCUAUUUUGUUGGUUUGCACGCCAGGGUAAUGAUUAAUAGGGACAGUUGGGGGUAUUUAUAUUUCAGCGUCAGAGGUGAAAUUCUUGGAUCGCUGAAAGAUAAGCUUAGGCGAAAGCAUUUACCAAGGAUGUUUUCA
rnacentral:rRNA from 1 species